UACGUAGGGGGCAAGCGUUGUCCGGAUUUAUUGGGCGUAAAGAGCUCGUAGGCGGUUUGGCAAGUCGGGUGUGAAACCUCCAGGCUCAACCUGGAGUCGCCACCCGAUACUGCUAUGACUUGAGUCUGGUAGGGGAUCACGGAAUUCCUGGUGUAGCGGUGAAAUGCACAGAUAUCAGGAGGAACACCGGCGGCGAAGGCGGUGAUCUGGGCCAGUACUGACGCUCAAGAGCGAAAGCGUGGGUAGCGAACAGG
rnacentral:rRNA from 1 species